UUCUCAUUGCCACAAAGGCCGUGGCACAAAAGGACCAGAUGUGACAUUCUCAUUGCUACAAAGACCAUGGCACAAAAGGACCAGGUGUGACAUUCUCAUUGCCACAAAGGCCAU
rnacentral:lncRNA from 12 species